GCUGAGUGGGGAAGGCGGGAGUGCGGGGUUCGGAGAGCGCACAUCUCAGGCCAGGCCUGUGAGGCCUAACUGUUCCUCAGACCGUAAAACCACAGUAUCAGGCACUUGUGGGGCGAUAAGAAGCCCAGCACAGAACCAGGAUGGGUGCCUCGGGGGCCAGCCUUAGAGCCGCUGCGAAUGACGGCGCGAGGUUCUGUCAGGCGCCCCGGGUUCCUUGCCCGGGAGGCCUUUUGUGUCCCUGAAGCCCGUAUGUUGUCUGUGGAGGCCUCGCUUGCUUGGAACUCGCUGGGACACCUGACCCAGCUUGAGUCGGGGACCCCGAGGGCGAUGGGGUCCGAAUGUGUCUCCAGGCCCAAGCGAAGUACACUGGCAGAGGGAGCCCCGGCGCUCACACCGCAGGAAUCCAGUAGCUGGAAAACCCCCUCCCUGGGAAUCUGCGUGUGUCUGAGUGUAGGUCCUUGCCUCCUCCUCGUGUCCUUUCAAGCACGUUAAAGGACCACCUAGUGCUAGGUGCCUCGGGAGAAGGAAAGCUGCAGAGGCGGGCCCUCCAGUUGAGCAAAAUGUUGGAUUCCAUUUUCACACACACACCCCCCGUACUCUUUGAGCGCCUCCCGUCCGUUUGGGGCUCCCAGGUGCUGUGCGUGUUUAGAAGGAUCCCCCAGGUGGACGUGAGGCUUGCAACCCUUAAGAGCCACCCAGUAAUGCCGCCUGGUGAGCCGAGAGCAGGAAGCCUCUAUUGGAGUAGAAGGAACUGAAACUAGACAGGAGGAGCUCCUGUUUGUCACCGAACUAUGUUAGAUACUAAAGAAGGCUUCCCCACAAUCCAUUUGCAUCUGCUUUGACUGGUGGUUUCUAUCAACCUACAAAGACUGACUUAUUGGUGAGGGCAGCUGGACAACUCUGAGAGCAACUUAGAGAAAUCCAUCUUGGGCACACUCUAUAAAGGAGCUCCUUCUCUGGAAAUAGCACCCCAGAUAAGUGCACAAAAGCAAGACACCCUCGUGGACCUACUUCCUCCCGCUUUCAACACCCUGAUGCCUGAAGCUAUGCUUGAUACUAAAGGAGGUUUUCCCACAUUUGCAUCUUCUGUGUUUUGAAAUUGCAACUAUGGACAGUUAUGGCUAAUCCUAGUAGAUUGUCUUCCCUUCUUUUAACAUCUUGGAUGAAUUUGGGGCACACUAAUGUGUUAAGUGAAGAUGGAUGUUGAAUAUACUGUGUAGAUUCACACCAGCCAGCCAUCUUAAAAUACUGCAUGGGCCACAGAGAUAUCUGCGGAGAAAGUAUGGGUAAAAUCAGUGCAUAUGAUAAUAGUUUGUAGAAUUUGACAGCAGUAUCAAGAGCUGAUGAGGAAGAGAAGAUGGAAAGGAGUCUAGCGACUUAAAAAUCUCAUAGCGUUGUCUGUGAGGUGACCUUUUUCCUGUUGGGGGCUCAACUUAUUUAGGAGAUAAAGAAGAUACUCAGGCCUGUGAUAGUAUCAUCAUGUCAUAUCUGAGCUUAUUGAAAU